UGUGUGCCGCUGUAUUGAUUGUGCCUUUUAGAUUUUUAUGUCAUUGUGGAAAGCAGCAAUUAUAGUCGGCUGCUCCAGGGAGCAAAUGGCCCCGGGGGAGGAUUUAAACCGUGGCCCCAGGGAUCUCCUGAUCUGGAGCUGGGGUGUGGAAGGGUGGCUAGCACCAAGAAGGGGAGGGUUCCACAACCCUCUCAGAGCUGCGGCGUUUGGAGGGUGCCUGUGGUAGGUCAAGCACUCAGUCACUGUGGUCUCCCCCCAAGCCGCCCAGUGGCUUCCUGUCUCCAUUAAAACACAGCCGCUCUGCAAACACCACCUGUUCUCACCUCCCAUCUCCUGACCUGCUCGCCGGCCUCCCCGCCAAGGCCUUUCUUCAUGGCCACUGUUCCUCUGUCCAUGCUCUUCCCACCCUCUCUACCCUGUUUGCAGCUACCCGGUCAGGUCUCAACCCGGGAGUCACCCCCUCCCCAACAGUCCCAUCGCAUCACCUUCCCGGCGUAAAUAUUCAGAAAUAUUUCUUCAUUCAGAAAUACUCCGUCUGCUGGUGAGUUCACCGUCUCCCCUCAAAAUGUAAAUGGGAAAGAAAUAGGGAGCUCACUCUCUUUGUGGCAAGGGAAUUCUUGGCACACAGUCUUGAUAAAAAUGCCUAGCCCAGCUAAUAGCAGAGUGUGAGGCUCAGAAAAUGUAUCCAGAUACCCACAAAAUAUCCGUGUAUUUCUUCAGGAGUGGCUGGACCCCUUGCUCUAUGGUAACCUCACACAGGGCUUUCCCUGGGCUCUACUCACAGCUUGUCUGUCACGCACAUGAAAUGGCUGCCUCCACUGUGAUCGUUUGGCAUUUAAAGCAAGAGGAAGAGGAGAAAAGCAAAAAUCAAAAUCUCCCCAUCCAAGCUUGGCCCCCUUUUUAUGGGGCCUUUUCAAUUACUCGUGCAUCACUCACAGAGAUUCUGUGACUCUCUGGCUCGUUAGCCACCUGCUGCUAGGCAGACGGCGCCCGAGGUCUCAGGCUCCACACAGGUGAAAGCAAGGCAGACGGCACCCGAGGCCUCAGGCUCCACACAGGUGAAAGCAAAGGUGUGCACUGCACAUUGUUGACCGGGCAGCCACAGUGGUGGCGCUGGAGAGGUGAAGUGUCUUACAGCCGUGACUAAGAGCACCAAAGGUGAGGCUUGAGCCCUGCCUGUCUGACUCAGUAUGCAGCUGUGCCCAUCUGCCACAUCCUGAUGCUGGCAUCCUGGCCAUCAGCUGGAGAGAACCGGCAAGUCAUUCAGGAGCAGCAGGCCAGUGGGCGUAGAGCCUGCAUGCUUGGUGCAUCUACGCUGGCUUUGCCUGCUCAUCCAUCGGCCCAUGUGUCCCGCCUCUUCCCUGUGCAGGGGCCCCGCUCACCCAGCGCCGUUCCGCCCGCCCUCUGAGCCCAACCUAGACACCAUGUUUUCUCUCUUUGUUCCCUAGCCGUGUGACACCGAGUGUACGCAGGAAGAUGUAAGGUGGCACAGAUAAUUUACAAACAACCAAAGGCAUCAGACCACACACAGCAGGAUCAAUGCUGUGACAAAUGUGGCGAGCCAGCUUCAGGCAAACCUGGCCAAGAGGUUGUGGAGGGCAGAACGGCCCCCCCUACAGACGCUCACACACUACUCCUAAACUCUCGGCUGUGUUUCCUGGCCAAGGGAAAGUGAGUUUGAAUCUGGAAUCAAGGGUGUGUAUAAACGAAUGAGGCUGGCUUUCUGCUGGUUCCUUCUCUAAGGGCUUGGAAUCUGAAGGCAGCAGAAACAACUCUGUUGUCUGCACUGGAAUUUCCACCUCUUGUGCUAAUGAGGCCAGGGCCAGGGCCGGAAGUGUGGGGAAGACCAACUAUGUGAUUAGGAGGUUGGAGGUUUAUGUUGAAAGGAUUCAGCCCAAUCCCCGGGAGGGGGGGGAAGAAAGGCCCCGAAGAGCCAACUGACACCAGUGAAAAAGAUGCAAACUCAAGAGAGCCUCCUCAGCUGGCAGCGAUCUGUACUGCCAACAUCGAUGCUCAUCCUUGCUAGUCCGAAGACAAUGAAAGCUUCCUGUGGGGACCCUCCCAGGCUCUUUUCUUGGUUCUGAUUCAGAUCUUUCCCCAUUUGGAGGUAUAAUGCCUGUUAGAGCUCUACAAGUCUUUGUAACAAUUGUCAGACUUGAGCUGGUGGACAACGCCUGAGUUUGUGGCUAGCCUGUCAAGGACAAGGGUGGUCCCAAGACAGGCGUGACCCGUGAGAGGCGACUGAGGAGGAGGGCUGUGCAGUCUGCCUGAUUCUGGGUAGUUGGUGGCCAGAAGUUAUAGCCUCUUGUUGUCAGCUUGAGUUUAGGUGAGAGAGACCCCCCCCUCGCCAGAGCUCAGAUUCUCUGCCUCGCACACAGGCUCCUUCAGAAUGGAAGCAUUCAUACCUGGCAUGGGCAAUCCCCGGUUAACCCAGCCCCGGAAGAAGAGAGGAAAAGGGUGGAGGAGUUUGUAGGAGAGGGGCAAAAGAAAAAGAACCCGAAAGACCCCAUGAGAAGGAUGCGGCCCAGGCAUGCGCCUUUGAAGAGCCGCAGGCCGGAAGCAUGUGGCCCUGAGAAGCUGAGAAAGUUCCCAGGCCUCCAAGGGGAACACAACUCUCAGCACCUCGGUUUUAGUCUGAGAGGAGCCACACUGAGCUCCUGACCCCCAGAACAAACCUGUGCUCUCCUAAACUGAGCUCGUGGUGGCUUCAAAUUUUAAUUUUAUGUUUAAUUAGCGUAUGUGUCCAGGUCACAGCAGCAUCUUGCUGGCCGUUGCAGUAGGUUCUGUCUUUCCGUAGGGAACAGAUACAGGGGAAUUAUUUCCUCAGAGAAGAGUCGAGGAAGGCCUGUGCAAAAGGUGGCAGGUGACAGCUGAACCUCUGAACCUCGGAAGUCACAUUGUUACCAGCUCUGUUGCUAAGACCCUCGGAAACAUAAACUUUAACUAAUUUCAGCUAAAACUCACCUGAGACCCAGGAGAGGUGUUCUGAGUGAUUCACUUCCAGAUACAAUGUUUGUUUUAUUUAAUUAAAAGCUAGAGUAUAGGGCUGGAGAGAUAGCUCAGUCAUUAAGUGUGCUAGCUCUUCUGGAGGACACACAAGGCCGCUGGAAAACCAGCUUUACUUACAGGUCCAGGGAUCUGAUGCCCUCCUCUGGCCUCUGCAGGCACUGCAUGCAUGUGGUGCACAGGCCCAAGCAGACUAACCUUAUAAAAGCGAAAAAGAAGGAAACCUGAAGUGUACUCCUCUUUGUGUGAUACAUGUUAUUUGAACUACACACACACACACACACACAGUGUGAGGCCACCACAAUGGUAGAUACAAUACAGACAGAGACUAGCGCCAGUGUCCUUCGGCUUCCCCAUUGGUUCCUGACACCGUUGGUUCCGCUCUGGAGCUUUGGAAAGAAUGCCCACACAGACCACAACACAGUACAAUCCGUUGGAUGAGUGAAUGUUCAGGCUGUCCUAGAUAUUUGCAAUUCUAGUUUUCAGAGUCACCCAUAAUUUCAUUUCUUCAGCACUGGGCUUGCCAGGUCAUAUGGCGCAGCGCUCUGAGCCUUCGGCCACAGGGAUCGGGUUCUGCUCCCUUUAACCGGGACGGGAAGAGUCCACGUGGCCCCAGCUUCCCAGGCAGCUUUGGAGCAGGUGAGAGAACCUCAAGGACCAAACGCAGACUUGAGCGGCUCAGCUGAGGCCACUCCCAGCCCUGCAGCAAGGGGCCAACUAUGCUUGGACUUCAGGCGUGGGAAGCAGGCUCCCAAGCCCCCUUGUCAAGACCACACCAAUGGGGGAGGGUCUCUCCAGAGGGUGAGGGAGGGGUGUGGGGAGGAUUCUGCCAAGUCCCCCCUCCGGAAUGAAAGGUCAUCCUUCUUAUAACUACAACCAUAAGCAGUUAAGCCAGUCCGUCAGCACCUCGCUCUUCUCAGCUCUAAAUUAAGGCCAUCGGUGGUAAAAACUGAAGACUCCAGCCAAUGAUGUAAAAAAGAAAAAAAGAAAAGAAAUAUGACAUGAGCUGGGACCCUGAGCUGGUACUCGAUUAUAAAAUAUUAUUAUUACUACACACGGCCGCUCUUUCAGCCUCACGCCCACCCCAUGGUGUAUUAACCUCGUGCCCCAGAGAUGGCUCAGUGGUUAAGAACACCGUCUGCUCUUCUGGAGUUCCUGCGUGCAAUUCCCAGCAACCACACGGUGGCUCACAGCCGUCAGUCCUGGGGUUCGAUGCCCUCUCCUGGCAUGCAGGAUAUGGGGUCCCUCCAUCUGAGGUCCUCCAUCAUUUGAAGCAAGGUGCUGUGCACAGAGUGGGUCCCCUCGCCCGCGCACAGCGUGUCUACACACAUGUAGGCAGCUUCGUGCUUUUCUCGUGAAGGGCGUGUUUUUCAAGAGACCGUCCAGAUAAGAGUUCUGUUAAACUGCCUACCCAGCUGUGCCUAGGGGCUAAAGGAAGUCCUGGAUCUGGGGUCAUGAGGUACGAAAGGAGACGGAAGGCCUGAGCCAAGCAGACAUUAUGAUCCUAUCCAGAGGGCACAGCUGGGGAAGGCAGGACCGAGGCGAGGCCGCCAAGGGCAAGGAACCUGGGAUAGGAGAUUCAAAGUGCAGUCAGAGCGCCACUGCUGUUGACCACACAGGUGCAGGGCGGCUCCCAAGAGACGGGGCAGCAGACAGAACACAACUUCCUUGUUUUUCUUCCUUUUUUUUUUUUCCACUUAGGAAAAGCUGUAAUGAGACAAAGCCCAUGGAACAGCAGGAUUGAUUGUGUCACUAUGGCCUUUAAGGGAAGAAAGGGGGGGAAAUCAAAUUAUUGGACAGGGUCCUUUUACGGAGCUGCUGCUUUAAUUUAUUUUCUUAUAUUUUGUCAAUAGCUGUUGGUCUUUUGGGUUUUUUUUAUUUUCUUAAACAAGUGCAGCGCUUAAUAAAUGAAUGUUGCU